rnacentral:rRNA from 1 species
CUCUCCCUACGGGACGCAGCAGUGGGGAAUAUUGCACAAUGGGCAAAAGCCUGAUGCAGCAACGCCGCGUGAAGGAAGAAGGGUUUCGGCUCGUAAACUUCUAUCAACAGGGACGAAAGAAAUGACGGUACCUGAAUAAGAAGCCCCCGCUAACUACGUGCCAGCAGCCGCGGUAAUACGUAGGGGGCAAGCGUUAUCCGGAAUUACUGGGGGUAAAGGGUGAGUAGGCGGCAUG